AUCCAACUGACGAGUCCCAAAUAGGACGAAACACGCCUCGUGGAU
rnacentral:hammerhead_ribozyme from 1 species